rnacentral:rRNA from 1 species
UACGGAGGAUGCGAGCGUUAUCCGGAUUUAUUGGGUUUAAAGGGUGCGUAGGCGGGAGAUUAAGUCGGUGGUGAAAUUUUGCGGCUCAACCGUAACAGUGCCAUUGAUACUGGUUUCCUUGAGUGUGGAUGAAGUAGGCGGAAUUUGUGGUGUAGCGGUGAAAUGCAUAGAUAUCACGAGGAACUCCGAUCGCGUAGGCAGCUUACUAAACCAUAACUGACGCUCAUGUACGAAGGCGUGGGGAUCAAACAGGAUUAGAUACCCGUGUA